UCUCUCUCUCUCUCUCUCUCUCUCUCUCUCUCUCUCUAAGCUCGCUCUCGCUUGUGUAUACUUGAACUUUGUUGUCUUUUCAGUUGAAUCACUCUCUCUUCUAUCUCUCGAAAAAAUCCAGUUCGAUCUCCCAAAGAGCACAUAUUCAAUUCGAGCUCCUUCUCCUCUUCACUUCCGGUCUCUCUUUCUGGGUUCGUUCAGCUCCUAAUUGGAAGCUUUUUCGACUAUCCUCCUUUGCUUCUCUUCUCCUGGGUUUUGAACGAUGUCCAGACCUGGUGCUUCCCCCCAUCCAAUCGGUGCUUCUUUCUGCUCAUGCGUGAAUUGAGCGUCUCCAUUAUUGAAGCUGGUGGUUUCUUUUGGUUGUUUGGAGCUCGAGAAUUGAACCGAAGAAAGGCUUGUACAGACAGAACAAGAGUGACGACGCUGGUUUUGAGGGAUCCAAAUCGGUCGAUUGUUGAACAGAGCCAGUCGAUUCAAGCACAGAGGAAGUCUUGAAGAGAAACGUUCGUCUUAACUCUUUUGGGGGUUGGAGAAACGAGAUCUUGCAUGGUGUGUGUUGAUACCGAUAUGACUGUACAAGUAUAGAUAUUCGCAGCAUGGCAUGAUCCUGUCAUAUUCUUCAUUCGUGUAACUUAGUCUCUUUGUUUUUGAAUUUUUUGUGCUUUCUUGUUCCCCUUCCAAUUAGAUGAUUUUCUCAAGUA